rnacentral:rRNA from 1 species
UACGUAGGGUGCAAGCGUUAUCCGGAAUUAUUGGGCGUAAAGAGCUCGUAGGCGGCUUGUCGCGUCAACUGUGAAAACCCGUGGCUCAACCAUGUGGUCUGCAGUCGAUACGGGCAGGCUAGAAUUCGGUAGGGGAGACUGGAAUUCCUGGUGUAGCGGUGAAAUGCGCAGAUAUCAGGAGGAACACCGGUGGCGAAGGCGGCCUGCUGGGCUAUGGCUGACACUGAGGCGCGACAGCGUGGGGAGCAAACAGG